rnacentral:misc_RNA from 1 species
AAGUCGUAACAAGGUUUCCGUAGGUGAACCUGCGGAAGGAUCAUUAUCGAGUUACCGAGGGGGCAUUAGAUGCUGGCCGCAAGGCACCGUGCUCGGCCCCUUUGUUCAACUAGUCCAACCACCGUGCAUCAUGAGGGGUUCGCCCCUUGACAUCACACAAACCACUGUAUCACGAAGUCUAAUUUUAUAAAAUACAACUUUCAACAACGGAUCUCUUGGCUCUC